GGAUGAAAUGAUGGUUUACCAUCUUUCGGGACUGACCAGUCAUGGAGAUGCUUUUUUACUUUGCUGAUCAUAC